rnacentral:misc_RNA from 1 species
AAAAAAAAAAAAAAAAAGAUGAUCUAUGGUUAGUGCUAACCAAUUCAUUAAGAAUUUAGUUAAAAUUUAAGUAUGGGUAAUAAUUGAUUGGAUAUAUUUAAUAUAAAUUUGAUUUUAUAAUGAAAUUUAUAAUUAUUAAAUUAAAUAUUUACAUUAAUGUUUAUGUAGAAUUAAUUAAAUAUUUAAUUUAAAAUUUAUUAAAUUUAUUAUUUUAUCUAAUUUAUACCAUGGCAAAAAUCAUUUUAAAUUUAAAAGCAUACUGACAAUUUAGAAGUAUAAUUAAUUAUCGUAAGAUAUCAU